UACGUAGGGGGGCAAGCGUUGUCCGGAUUUAUUGGGCGUAAAGAGCGUGUAGGCGGCCUUACAGGUCAGCUGUGAAAACUCGAGGCUCAACCUCGAGACGUCGGUUGAAACCGUAAGACUAGAGUCCGGAAGAGGAGAGUGGAAUUCCCGGUGUAGCGGUGAAAUGCGCAGAUAUCGGGAAGAACACCCGUGGCGAAGGCGGCUCUCUGGGACGGUACUGACGCUGAGACGCGAAAGCGUGGGGAGCGAACAGG
rnacentral:rRNA from 1 species